AUGUGUGUGCAUGGACAAGAGAAAGGACAGAACACAUCGGUGAAAAAGUUGAAUCAGAAGAAAUAUGAGAAAUAUGCACAAGCAAACACUGUUUUCCUGAUCAUUUACUCACCACCAUGUCAUCCAAGAAGGAAAACAUUCCAGGAUUUUUCUCUAAAUAGUGGACUUCAAUGGGACCCAACGGGUUAAAGGUCCAAACUGCAGUUUAUGCAGCUUCAAAGGGCUCUAUGUGAUCCCAGCCGACAAAUUAGGGUCUUAUCUCAAAAAAACAAAAAACAAAAAAAAUUAUACUUUUUAACAACAAAUACUCGCAUUAACUUGCAUUAGCUCCGCGAUGUGAGACUUCACGCAUUACAUAAUCACAUUGCAAAGGUCACGGGUGGUUAGCUCUUCGUCUGUGUACUCCAGUUCAAAAAGGUAUGGUAGGGUGAAAAACUCCAUUUCAUUUUAUCCUCCAAAUUCAAAAUCAUCCGACAUGGUUGUUUUACCUUUUUUGUAAAUGAGUUUGACUAUCUUUGCACGUUUGCUUUGUAAACACUGAGUUGGUUCCACCUAUGUCACAUGUGUGUGAUAACGUAAUGCGUCAGGUCGAGCUAGUGCAAGACGAGCAUUUGUGGUUAAAAAGUAUGAAUAUUUUUAACUUUUGUUUUUUAAAUUACCAAUUGUUUCGCUAGAUAAGACCCUGAUUCCUUGGCUGGGAUUGUGUAGAGGCCUUUGCAGCUGCACUGAAACUGCAAUUUGAACCUUCAACCCCUGGUUCCCACUGAUAUAUGGAGAAGAAUCCUGGAAUGUUUUCCUCAAAAUAUCUUUUUGACUGAAGAAAAAAAGACAUGAACAUUUUGAAUGACAUGGGGUGAGUAAAUUUUCAGGAAAUAUUUAUUCUGGAAGUGAACUGAUCCUUUAAUGGUGGUUUUGUUUCUUAAAAACACGCUGCUUUUUACUUCACAAGAUGUUAAUUGGUGGACUGGAGUCAUGUGGAUUACUUGUGGAUUACUGUAAUGUUUUUAUCAGAUGUUUAGACUCUCACUGCUGAGGAUCCACUGGCGAGCAAGUGAUGUAAUGCUAAAUUCCCCCUUGCUUUUGUUUUAUCUCUCAUGAAUUAGUCAAAUAUUUUUAUAAAAUGUUAUGCUGCGUAAACUUUAAAAACCUUUACCACUGAAUUCAGUUAAUUAGGCUGAUGUAAUCAUCC
ensembl:lncRNA